GACGAACGCUGGUUGCGUGCUUAACACAUGCAAGUCGAACGGAAAGGCCCUGCUUUUGUGGGGUGCUCGAGUGGCGAACGGGUGAGUAACACGUGAGUAACCUGCCCUUGACUUUGGGAUAACUUCAGGAAACUGGGGCUAAUACCGGAUAGGAGCUCCUGCUGCAUGGUGGGGGUUGGAAAGUUUCGGCGGUUGGGGAUGGACUCGCGGCUUAUCAGCUUGUUGGUGGGGUAGUGGCUUACCAAGGCUUUGACGGGUAGCCGGCCUGAGAGGGUGACCGGCCACAUUGGGACUGAGAUACGGCCCAGACUCCUACGGGAGGCGGCAGUGGGGAAUAUUGCACAAUGGGCGGAAGCCUGAUGCAGCAACGCCGCGUGCGGGAUGACGGCCUUCGGGUUGUAAACCGCUUUCGCCUGUGACGAAGCGUGAGUGACGGUAAUGGGUAAAGAAGCACCGGCUAACUACGUGCCAGCAGCCGCGGUGAUACGUAGGGUGCGAGCGUUGUCCGGAUUUAUUGGGCGUAAAGGGCUCGUAGGUGGUUGAUCGCGUCGGAAGUGUAAUCUUGGGGCUUAACCCUGAGCGUGCUUUCGAUACGGGUUGACUUGAGGAAGGUAGGGGAGAAUGGAAUUCCUGGUGGAGCGGUGGAAUGCGCAGAUAUCAGGAGGAACACCAGUGGCGAAGGCGGUUCUCUGGGCCUUUCCUGACGCUGAGGAGCGAAAGCGUGGGGAGCGAACAGGCUUAGAUACCCUGGUAGCCCACGCUGUAAACGGUGGGUACUAGGUGUGGGGUCCAUUCCACGGGUUCCGUGCCGUAGCUAACGCUUUAAGUACCCCGCCUGGGGAGUACGGCCGCAAGGCUAAAACUCAAAGGAAUUGACGGGGCCCCGCACAAGCGGCGGAGCAUGCGGAUUAAUUCGAUGCAACGCGUAGAACCUUACCUGGGUUUGACAUGGAUCGGGAGUGCUCAGAGAUGGGUGUGCCUCUUUUGGGGUCGGUUCACAGGUGGUGCAUGCCUGUCGUCAGCUCGUGUCGUGAGAUGUUGGGUUAAGUCCCGCAACGAGCGCAACCCUUGUUCACUGUUGCCAGCACGUUAUGGUGGGGACUCAGUGGAGACCGCCGGGGUCAACUCGGAGGAAGGUGGGGAUGACGUCAAGUCAUCAUGCCCCUUAUGUCCAGGGCUUCACGCAUGCUACAAUGGCUGGUACAGAGAGUGGCGAGCCUGUGAGGGUGAGCGAAUCUCGGAAAGCCGGUCUCAGUUCGGAUUGGGGUCUGCAACUCGACCUCAUGAAGUCGGAGUCGCUAGUAAUCGCAGAUCAGCAACGCUGCGGUGAAUACGUUCCCGGGGCU
rnacentral:rRNA from 1 species